ACCUGCCCACUGAUUUUUUUGAAGGGCCGCAGUAAUUUGACUGUGCAAAGGUAGCAUAAUCAUUAGUUUUUUAAUUAAAAGCUUGUAUGAAGGGUUGGACGAGGUAAAAUCUGUCUCUAUUUAAAUUAUUAUAGAAUUUAAUUUUUAAGUUAAAAAGCUUAAAUUUAUUUAAAAGACGAGAAGACCCUAUAGAUCUUUAUAUAAAUUAUAUUAAUUUUAAUUAAGAAUAUUUUAUUUAUUAUUAUAAUUUAUAUUUUAUUGGGGUAAUAAAAAGAUUAAGAAAAUUCUUUUUUUAUUUAAACAUUGAUUUAUGAUUAAAUGAUCCAAUAUUUUUGAUUAAAAGAUUAAGUUACCUUAGGGAUAACAGCGUAAUUUUUUUAGAGAGUUCAUAUCGAUAAAAAAGUUUGCGACCUCGAUGUUGGAUUAAAAAUUAUCUUAGGUGCAGAAGUUUAAGAUUUUGGUCUGUUCGACCAUUAAAUUUUU
rnacentral:rRNA from 1 species